rnacentral:lncRNA from 1 species
CUAAAUCAUACAAGUUAGAAGAAGUAAAGAUACAAAAAAAUAAACCAGUUUAUGAAUCAUAUUGUGUAUGUACAUAAACCGUAAGCUUGUCAUUGCCAAUUUAAUCGAAAAUAGGUAAAACUUGUUACACAAAACCCUAUAAACGACAUAAGUUUAGUUUAGUUCUUACAAAAAAUUAUUUUGAGAUGAUAAUAGAAAGUACAAUUUGAUUUUUCUUAAAAGCCUAUGUUCAAAUAUUCUACACUUUAAAAUAAAAGAAAAUUAUUAAACAAAAAUUAUACCUAGAAGGAGUGUGAAAAAUGGUAGGUUUAUUAGCGGGAGAAAUGAGAACCAUGACAAUAUCAACAUCGCAUAGCAAUGCUAAUUCUUCUGCCUUCUUUAAAAUCCCUUUCUUACGUUUUGAGUAUUUAUUGCUUCUCUCUUUUGGGCACUCGAUUUUCUUCAGUUCUAUUUUCAUCUUCCCAAUUUUCUCUUCUUUUUCGAUUUUUUUAUUUUUUUAUUGCUUAUUUUUGGACAAACUUUUUCGAUUUUAUUUAUUCACUCUUCUUAGACUUAUAUUUUUUGGGUGCUCUCCUCAAUAUAAAAAGGGUUUGGACAAAAUUUAUCUUGGAUUCACUAAAGAUGUGAUUGAAAGAAAAUCUUCAUUAGAUUAAAAUGUUAUUUAGUAGAAAUCAUUGUCCUUAAUACUUUUAGAUUUGGUUUAAAAGAGGUAUGAUUUAUUAAUAUUAUUGUAAUUUAAUUGAUGUCAUUAGUACUCCACUAAAAACUAAUAUGCUUUUUUCAUUGACACACAAGUAUAUAUUAUUUUAUUUUUUGUCAACUAUAUAUUAUUAUGUUCAUCUUGACAAUACAUAUUUUCUUGGAUUAAAAUACAUAUCACACAAAUUUAAUUAUUUAUAAUAUUAUAUGAGCAGGUAAAAAAUCUGUAUAAUCAUAAUCGAUGUGACACUAUGACUACAUUUUUAAAUGUAUCUAAUUUUCUGUAUAUAAAUUUUCACAAAAAUAUAUCAGAGUGCUUUCAAUUUUUUAAUGGCUGACAGUAAAACCAAUUAAAAUAUGGUUAAUAAAUAUAGCUUAAUUAGUUAUUGUUUGUUGAAUAAAUCUAUAUAUAAAUGUUUGACUAUAAACUACAAAAUGUAUUAUACAAUACCUGUCACGCGAAAGAUGAUCAAUUACUAUGGGAUCUUCAGUAUUGUUUUUGUCCACCAAAAUUUUUAAAGUCUUUAUAAAGGUUACAUACAAAAAAGGGUAAUGACUUAGUUUUUUGUUACUAACUUAAGUUGUCUUAAUUUUCUUGUAUUCAGAAUUUAUUUUUACAAAACAUUAUAUUACAUGUAUAAACUUAUAUAUGAAUAACCCAAUAACUCAUAAGUACAAAACUAAAUUGUACACCGUAUUAAACUUCCUUACCUCUUAUUUCAAAAUGAUAUAACUGAGCGUAAGAAAGAAAUUGGCAAAUGAAAAAAUCAGAAUUUAUUUAAUAAAUUUAAUGUGAUGAGUAAAUCAAACCCUUAUUGUGUAGGCUCUCCUAAAUGCGUGCAUACAACACCAAAAAUAUCAUAUAUUAGUUUUUAUAUAAAUAAAAAAAAUACAAUGAAAUUAUGCAAAGUACUUAAUGUAAUAGUAAUACGACAAUCAGAAAGAUCAAACCUCUCUUCAUGUUCAUGUAUUGAAAUGUUACGGAAGUCCUUCAAGAUCUGACUCAAAUUUCUGCAAUUUUUCAUAAGCAUAUUUUUACCGGAAUAUAUGUAAUUUUAUGCACAUUUUAUGUCAUAUUUUGUGAAAAUAAAUGUAAAUUUUAAGCAUUUUUUAAGAAAAAUUAUGAUUUAAUCAUAAUUUUUUUAUAAGACAUGCUCUAAAUCAUAUUAGUUAGAAGUAGUAAAGAUAAAAAAAAAAACCAGUUAAUGAAUCAUAAUGUGUAUGUACAUAAACGGUAAGCUUGUCAUUGCCAAUUUAAUGGAAAAUGGGUAAAACUUGUUACAUAAAACCCUAUAAAACGACAUAAGUUUAGUUUAGUUUCUUAAAAAUAUAUAUUUUGAGAUGAUAACAGAAACUACAAUUUGUUUUUUUCUUAAAAGCUUAUGUUCAAAUAUCGUACACUUUAAAAUAAAAGAAAAUUAUUAAACAAAAUUAUACCUAGAAGGAGUGUGAAAAUGGUAGGUUUAUUAGCGGGAGAAAUGAGAACCAUGACAAUAUCAACAUCGCAUAGCAAUGCUAAUUGUUCUGCCUUCUUUAAAAUCCCUUUCUUACGUUUUGAAUAUUUAUUGCUUC